UGGAGAGACUUUACAGGCCAGAGAGGCAAGAAUCCUAAAAGUAUAUCACGUUCUUCAUAUAGGUGAUGAAGCUUGCAUUAACAAAAAAUGGAAGUCACUCAUAUACCCAGGAAGACAACAUCCUCAAACCCAUGCACAAGCACAGCUGUUUAUCAUGGAGCUGUUACGUACCCACUCUGUUAGCUCUGUAGCCUAAAUGGCUUAAAUAUACAGGAAAUUCUUUAAAUCUAGACUAUCAAAAUACACACCUUCCUUCAUUUGGUGUUAAUAGAGUUGUGUCAGUGGUUUUUUUGACAACUCACUUUUUCUUUAGGCAGCGUUAAGUGCCUUGAAACAGUUUUCAGAACAAGGACUGGAUCCAGUGGAAGGGACUAUGAAAGUUGAAAAUGGAUCACAUGAAAAACAAGUCAAGCAUCUGGGAGAGAAAGCAGACAAUAAACAGACUAACUCAGGCACCAUUGCUCAGGACUGCAAGGAUUCAAAGGCUGUCGUCUAAGAGCUUCCCAGCACCCACGGCUGCCACUGCAUCCUUAUAAACCUGUCAACACGCAAUAGGGUGUAUGUGUACAAGGAAAUGAAUGACUAAUACCAUUAUUUGAGUCUUAUGUGAAGACAACGCUAUUCUAACACAAGAGAUAGUAUACAUGGUACUGUUUAUUCAACUGUGGAAAAAAAUAAAAUUGAACAUUUCCCUUAAAACUUGAGAUCAGAGCAUAACUCAAUUGCCCAGAGGCAGAAGGAGUCUGAUCAUGUUACUGGAGGUUAAAAUAACAACUAAUUAACAAAAAGUGUUAGAAAAAAAAAGGGAAACUUUAAAAUUGAUUAAUAUUGAGGAAAACAAGUCAGCAUUGGUUCAGUUAUACAAUUUUUUCGUAGUGUAGUUUUAAGUUCAGCUUACUGUUUUUUAAAUAACGCUUGAAUAUUUUAAAAUUAACCAAUGACAGUGCUGUGAGAAUUGUAGUUGUUGUCUUCAUAUAUAGUCAUACAGCUUACCUUUUUAUGCAGACAUUAUGCAUUCAUCAUUCUAUAUGAAUAUGUAUGACUUUAAGAUGCACUACUCGGAGUUGUAUGCAAACAGAAGUUUAAAUCAUGACAAGUAUUUGCUUAACAUGAACAGAUGUUAGUUAUGAUCAGUCUUGAUAUACUCCAGGAAAAAAACAGAUAUGGUAUUUGAUUUUCCUUGCCAUAAUCAACUAAAGAGGCGUCUUGCCUCCAAGCAAAAUUUUCCCCUUCAAUUCUGCUCUGUUGUGUGAAGCACAUCUACACCCCAUUCUGUGUGUUGUAUCAACCCACCGUUUGCAUCAACUGAGUGUUUUUAAUCUCUGCAUUCGGACCAAGAGCAAAAGGUAGGACUUGCAACGUUAUCAAGCCAAGGAUGGAAAACUGUUGAUGUAAAGAUCAUUCUUUGUGAAAGGAGUGGCAGCAGAGAUAAGACCUGUGGCUGCUCUGUAGCAGCAUAUUUCUUUUAAGUGUGUGGCCAAAUGCAGUAAAACCACAUCAGUUCAUGUGUA